GACGAACGCUGGAGGCGUGCCUAAUACAUGCAAGUAGAAAGCAGUUGCGAACGGGUGAGAAACGCGUAGGUAACUGCCUGGUAGCGGGGGAUGACUAUUAGCAACGAUAGCGAAUACCGAAUACUACCAGAUGGCCCUGCGUUGGAUUAGCUAGUUGGUGGGGUAACGGCUCACCAGAGCAACGAUACAUAGCCGACCUGAGAGGGGUGUCUGCCACACUAGUACUGAUACACGGCCCAGGCUCCUACUGGAUGAAGCAGUAGGGAUUCUUCGGCCAUGGACUGGACUCUUACCGAGCAACUCCGCGAGAGUGAAGAGUGUUUUCGUAUCGUAAAGAUCUGUUUUAAUAGAAGCGUUAUCUUCUCAGCAAGGGACGGCUAACUACGUGCCAGCCGCCGCGGUAAUAC
rnacentral:rRNA from 1 species